GCCUUAGUAGCGGCGAGUGAAGCGGCAAGAGCUCAAAUUUGAAAUCUGGUACCUUUGGUGCCCGAGUUGUAAUUUGAAGAUCACAAUCUUGAAAUUGGUCCUUGUCUAUGUUCCUUGGAACAGGACGUCACAGAGGGUGAGAAUCCCGUGCGAUGAGGAUACCUUUUUCAUUUAAGAUGUGUUCGACGAGUCGAGUUGUUUGGGAAUGCAGCUCAAAGUGGGUGGUAAAUUCCAUCUAAAGCUAAAUAUUGGCGAGAGACCGAUAGCGAACAAGUACAGUGAUGGAAAGAUGAAAAGAACUUUGAAAAGAGAGUGAAAAAGUACGUGAAAUUGUUGAAAGGGAAGGGUAUUUAAUCAGACUUGGUAUUUAGCUAUCUCUUCUCCUUGUGGGAGGGGCUCUAGCUUUUUACUGGGCCAGCAUCAGUUUUGGUGGUAAGAUAAUCGCAGUUGAAUGUGGCUCUUCGGAGUGUUAUAGCUUCUGUUGAUGUUACCUACCGGGACUGAGGUCUGCGGCUUUUGCCUAGGAUGCUGGCGUAAUGAUUAAACACCGCCCGUCUUGAAACAUGGACCAAGGAGUCUAACGUCUAUGCGAGUGUUUGGGUGUAAAACCCGUACGCGUAAUGAAAGUGAACGUAGAUCAGGGCCCGUAUGGGUGCAUGAUCGACCGAUCCUGAUGUUUUCAGAUGGAUUUGAGUAAGAGCAUAGCUGUUGGGACCCGAAAGAUGGUGAACUAUGCCUGAAUAGGGUGAAGCCAGAGGAAACUCUGGUGGAGGCUCGUAGCGGUUCUGACGUGCAAAUCGAUCGUC
rnacentral:rRNA from 1 species